rnacentral:rRNA from 1 species
UACGUAGGCAGCGAGCGUUGUUCGGAAUACUGGGCGUAAAGCGUGCGCAGGCGGUUUGCUAAGACAGGUGUGAAGAUCCCUCGGCUUAACCGGGGAACUGCGUCUGAUACUGGAUGGCUUGAAUCCGGGAGAGGGAUGCGGAAUUCCAGGUGUAAGCGGUGAAAUUCGUAGAUAUUCGCAAGAACACCAGUGGCGAAGGCGGCUCACUGGCCCGGUACUGACGCUGGAGGUGACGAAGACGUGGGGAGCAA